UACGUAGGGGGCAAGCGUUGUCCGGAUUUAUUGGGCGUAAAGAGCGUGUAGGCGGCUUGGUAGGUCCGCUGUGAAAACUCGAGGCUCAACCUCGAGAUGUCGGCGGAAACCACUUGGCUAGAGUCCGGAAGAGGAGAGUGGAAUUCCUGGUGUAGCGGUGAAAUGCGCAGAUAUCAGGAAGAACACCUAUGGCGAAGGCAGCUCGCUGGGACGGUACUGACGCUGAGGCGCGAAAGCGUGGGGAGCGAACAGG
rnacentral:rRNA from 1 species